GGCUUCAUGGUCUAGUGGUAUGAUUCUCGCUUUGGGUUGCAUUUAAUGCAAUUAUGCGAGAGGCCCCGCGUUCGAAUCGCGGUGGAGCCC
rnacentral:tRNA from 1 species